rnacentral:rRNA from 1 species
AGCGUAGGUGGCCUAACAUGUCAACUGUGAAAACCCGGAGCUCAACUCCGGACUUGCAGUUGAAACUGGUAGGCCUGAGGACGGUAGAGGAAGACGGAACUGCCAGUGUAGGGGUAAAAUCCUUAGAUAUUGGCAGGAACGCCGGUGACGAAGGUGGUUUUCUGGGCCGGUUCUGACACUGAUGCUCGAAAGCCAGGGGAGCGAACG